GCAGCUGCCAUGUUGGCCAAAGUGGCGCUCUCUGCUGGGGCAACUGGCUCUGGCUGCGGCUGCCAGGUCGGUAAGCACAGGGUCUUCCUUCUUCCCCUCGCCCGCGGUUGGAGCUGAGGGGCGGCGUUCGGCGGGAUGGAGAAAAGUAGGAUGAACCUGCCCAAGGGGCCGGACACGCUGUGCUCUGACAAGGACGAGUUCAUGAAGGUGCGCCCGGGGGGCUGUGCUCCCCGAGCCGAGGCGGGUGGCCUGUUUUCCUUUCCCUCCGGGGCCUCCUCCAGCUGCUGGGCCGCGCACGCCCCGGAUCAGCCCCCGGCGGGACCUCGCUGCCUUCGCAGAAGACUUUGAUGUCGAUCAUGUUGUGUCUGACUGUCGGAAGCGAGUCCAGCUAGAAGCACUUAGAGAUGACCUGGAGCUCUACUAUAAGCUGCUUAAAACAGCCAUGGUUGAGCUCAUCAAGGACACACAGACUUUGUCAACCUGUCAACAAACCUGAGUCUUCGGUCAUCUGUCAGUGAAGGAAUUUGGGCAGUAGAUGAACGAAGGUCUAAACAAAAGAGGACACUAGGGGAAAAAAGCUCUGGAGGCCUGUACUCCGAAAGGUGCUAGAAACAAAGCCUGUGAGUGUGAUCCGGGACUCCAAAGCCCCUCACCCACCACCACCAUGGCAGGAAAAGGUGCCAAAGGGACGCUGGGUUAGCUCUAUGCUUCAUCCGUGCAAGCCCUCCAAGAAGUCACGUACUCCCUGGAGACUGCCACGUGGCUGGUGAGCUCCCCACACACCUGUUGCCCUGGUCACAACGGCUUAUCCUCCGGCUCAUCUGGGACUAAGGGCCUCUGCUGGCGCUCUUCUGCUCACUAGGAAGCCACCUGUCUUUGCCCCGACCCUCCUCGUCUGACCUGCCUGACUGCUGGAGCCUCAGUGCUGCGGCUUCUUCUUUCUCAGGCCUCCGUGCGGUUGCAGUUGGGACUUGUUCAUGUUGCUGGCUGGUUCUGGCAGGUGAAGCCCGAACAGGGACCCGAUUGGACUGCAUGAUCGCAGCCGCCCGAAACGCCCAACUCGCAGAACGUUCUCACCAAUUACAUCAUCAAAACAGCAAUACCCUCAGAUUACAAUAUAAAUACCCCGUGAAACCACCAGGCAAAUAGUUAACCGCUGCUCUGUUUGUCCUCGGUUUUUUUCUGUUCCUCACUAUGGUGUGAACCCCCGCGGCCUCCUUCCCAACCAUUUAUGGCAGAUGGAUGUUACUCACGUUCUCUCCUUUGGUAAAUUGAAAUAUGUUCAUGUUAAUAUAGAUACUUUUUCUGGAUAUAUUUUUGCCUCUUUACAAACAGGAGAAGCAGCUCGACAUUGUAUCGCACAUUGCCUUGCAGCUUUCUCUGUUAUGGGAACUCCAAAGACCAUCAAAAUGGACAGUGGACCUGGAUAUACUUCUGCCGCUUUUCUUAAUUUUCGCUCCCGUCUCUCCAUCUCUCUUAAAACAGGCAUCCCCUACAAUCCCCAAGGCCAAGGCAUCGUUGAACGAGCUCAUCAGACAUUAAAACAUCAGCUUUUGAAAUUCAAGAAGGGGGAGUUAUAUCCCCUCAUACCAUAUAAUUACUUACAUCAUGCCCUUUUUAUUCUUAAUUUUUUAAAUUUGGACUCUGAAGGCAAAACCGCAGCACAGCAAUUCUGGUCCCCAGCUGCUAUUAACAAGCCUCAUGUAAUUUGGAGAGAUCCAAUUACUAAUCAGUGGCAUGGCCCUGACCCUGUUUUGAUAUGGGGGCGGGGACAUGUUUGUGUUUUUCCACGGGAUGCCGAAGCACCGUGCUGGCUCCCGGAGAGGCUGGUACGCCAGACGGAGACAGUCGCUGACUGCUCGACUAGAGAGGCUGAGGAUACAAGAGAGGAAUGUUCUGCCAACAAAUCAACAACUACGUGAGUUCGUGGAGCGAGCAAGACACAUUGCUGCAGAUACAAUCAAUCCACAUAUUUCCCUAUCCUACCUGGUGCUUGCAUUGGCAUGUGCCGUUAUGAAUCAGGCCUUUCCCAGAGCUGAAGGAAAUGUUUUUCUUUCUUGGGCUCAUUCUUAUGCUGAUUUUCAUAAUACCUCUGCUUGUUGGGUAUGCACUGCUAUGCCUUUGUCAGUUGUAAAUGGUUUCCCAUGGUGGGUGUUACCGAUGGGUCAGGAAGAACUACCUGCGGUGUGUGAAUUUUUAGAACAAUAUAAGCAGAUUUACCUUAGCCUUAAUUCUCUUAAUGUUACAGCUUUGACCUGGUGUAAUUAGAAACCUUAUGACUCCUGGAUAAGAUUUAAUGCCAGCAAAAGUAUUAAGAUAAUCUCUGCUGCCUUUAAUCAGUACGUCAAUUCCUCCAGUAAAGGACAAGAUCAUUCCAGCUGAUAUUUUGGGGACUAUUAUCAGAUUUGGGAUGAAUACUUUUGGAUGACCCCAGAAAAAGGACAAUUACUGAAACAAGCGGACAUUUGCUGGGAACAACAAGAACAUCAACCCAGAUUUGGAGAAAGAGACUUAGGCAAACAUUUGCUGAAACAUAUGGGUAUCACCCCUAUUUCCUUAUGUGAUCACAUAAUUGAUGUCACCUUUUCUGUUAAAACAUCCACGCCAUGGCCAGAAUCUGAUUGGUUUUACAACCCUGGCAUCAGAUGGGUUGCUCCUAAUGGAACAAAAUGGAUCUGUGGUUCUAAUGUUUGGCGGUGGCUGCCUGUGGGAUGGGUAGGACGGUGCAGCCUUGGAUUUGUGUUUGCCCCUGGUCGCAUUAGUCAUAAGCCCAUCAAAAACCCUGCCAACCUUGCUUUUUUGAAAGCGCGAUGGUCUCAUCUGUAUUUCAUUGGUAUGAUUAUUUGGCAGCAGUCUUUGUUACCUCUGUUGGGACGGUCGACAUAAUGACCCAUGUAGAUGACUUAACUAAUUUUACUCAACAAGCCUUAUUAGACACAAAGAAGGCUAUUGAAGCUUUAAAUGAAGAACAGAAACAAAUGAGAAAGGCCGUGUUACAAAACCGAAUGGCCUUAGACAUUAUUACUGCUGCUCAAGGUGGGACCUGCGCUAUAAUAAAAGUAGAAUGUUGUGUGUAUAUCCCAGAUUUAUCUUCCAAUGUGUCUGAUGCUGUAAAUGAUCUUCAACAUCAAGUACUCUCUAUGCAGGAUUCCUCCCUUUCUUUUUGGGAACAAGUUAAAUCCUGGUUUGAGAGUGGUGGAAAAACCUGCUUAUGAUACUUGUUAUUGUACUUUGUUUUCUUUGUUGUGGACCAUGUUUUUUACAAUGUAUUAUGAAUUUAGUUACUGAAAGAAUCAUGAAGUUUUCCCGUAUUAUGAAAAAUUAACAUUAUUUCAUUUUUCUCGGGGAGUGAACGGGGAGGCUUGAUAUUUUAAUAAAUAAAAAAGGGGGAGAUGCGGGGAGCCGGCCUGGACAAGGCCCAAAUAGGCCCUGGGAAAGGCCUUGAAAGAGGCUAUUCCCUGUCCCGCCACCCCACGGUUUAGAAGUAAAAUAUUUACCUGGCCUCCUUUGUUAUUCCUCGAGAAAAACAUAGUGACCUCUUACCUAGUUUUCUGUUUUCUUGGAAUUUAUUCAAGCAUGUCUUUUCUGACCCUAGGGUUAAUUAAUAGGUAGCUUUUUAUCUUUUUUAUAAACAGACCUGUUUUUGCCUAUCUUAAGGAAUAUUAGGUAUAGGCGCCUAGUUUAUCUUGGAAUGUUAAUAACAAUAUCCCUAGCUUCUGCAAUCACUCAUGAUAAAGAAAAUUGUAUUAAUGUGGUUAAAACCAGGUGGCAUUCUUUAUGUAUGAUGUUUUCUGCUUGUAAAGGUAUGAAAGUAGCUGUUUCACUCAAUAAACUGCUGAGUUGUCUAAAGAGCA